GUGAAUCAUCGAAUCUUUGAACGCAAAUUGCACUUCCUGGUAUCCCGGGAAGUAUGCCUGUUCGAGGGUCAGUAUUACCAAAAAAUCGGUUUGGUUGCAAAUUGUGACGUUUCCGGCGUUUGGGCUUAUCUUACCUUUUUUGGUUCAGCGGCUUAAAAUUGACCUUUUUUGCGCCUUUUUAGACGUACAUAAAUUUUUUUUUAUUCGUCUAUUCUUAAUGCCAAACUCUUAUUAUCUGCGAUCACAUCUUGUUGCUUCGUUUCCAUAAA
rnacentral:misc_RNA from 1 species